UACGAAGGGGGCUAGCGUGCUCGGAAUGACUGGGCGUAAAGGGCGCGUAGGCGGUGAUCACAGUCAGGCGUGAAAUUCCUGGGCUUAACCUGGGGGCUGCGUUUGAUACGUGGUUGCUAGAGUGGGGAAGAGGGUCGUGGAAUUCCCAGUGUAGAGGUGAAAUUCGUAGAUAUUGGGAAGAACACCGGUGGCGAAGGCGGCGACCUGGUCCUGACUGACGCUGAGGCGCGAAAGCGUGGG
rnacentral:rRNA from 1 species